rnacentral:rRNA from 1 species
GUGCCAGCMGCCGCGGUAAUACGUAGGGUGCAAGCGUUAUCCGGAAUUAUUGGGCGUAAAGAGCUCGUAGGCGGUUUGUCGCGUCUGUCGUGAAAGUCCGGGGCUCAACUCCGGAUCUGCGGUGGGUACGGGCAGACUAGAGUGAUGUAGGGGAGACUGGAAUUCCUGGUGUAGCGGUGGAAUGCGCAGAUAUCAGGAGGAACACCGAUGGCGAAGGCAGGUCUCUGGGCAUUAACUGACGCUGAGGAGCGAAAGCAUGGGGAGCGAACAGGAUUAGAUACCCUGGUAGUCCAUGCCGUAAACGUUGGGCACUAGGUGUGGGGGACAUUCCACGUUUUCCGCGCCGUAGCUAACGCAUUAAGUGCCCCGCCUGGGGAGUACGGCCGCAAGGCUAAAACUCAAAGAAAUUGACGGGGGCCCGCACAAGCGGCGGAGCAUGCGGAUUAAUUCGAUGCAACGCGAAGAACCUUACCAAGGCUUGACAUGAACCGGAAAGGCGUAGAAAUACGUCCCCCACUUGUGGUCGGUUUACAGGUGGUGCAUGGUUGUCGUCAGCUCGUGUCGUGAGAUGUUGGGUUAAGUCCCGCAACGAGCGCAACCCUCGUUCUAUGUUGCCAGCACGUGAUGGUGGGGACUCAUAGGAGACUGCCGGGGUCAACUCGGAGGAAGGUGGGGAUGACGUCAAAUCAUCAUGCCCCUUAUGUCUUGGGCUUCACGCAUGCUACAAUGGCCGGUACAAAGGGUUGCGAUACUGUGAGGUGGAGCUAAUCCCAAAAAGCCGGUCUCAGUUCGGAUUGGGGUCUGCAACUCGACCCCAUGAAGUCGGAGUCGCUAGUAAUCGCAGAUCAGCAACGCUGCGGUGAAUACGUUCCCGGGCCUUGYACACACCGCCCGUC